rnacentral:sRNA from 1 species
GUAGAUGCUCAUUCACCCUGUUAUGACUGCUUCGGCUUCAUAAAACCUGGAAUGAUGCAGAGCCAAUUUCGGUACCUAGUGUCCACCUUAUCGAUAACCCCGGUUAUCACCAAGCGGACAUAACGUUGAGUGAGGUACCACCCCCGGUUGUCCUAGACCUGAAUUUGCUUGUUUGAACACUUGUCCCGGCGGGCAAGUGUUUUUUU